UACGAAGGGGGCUAGCGUUGCUCGGAAUUACUGGGCGUAAAGCGCACGUAGGCGGCUCUUUAAGUCGGAGGUGAAAUCCUGGAGCUCAACUCCAGAACUACCUUCGAUACUGUAGAGCUUGAGUUCGGGAGAGGUGAGUGGAACUGCGAGUGUAGAGGUGAAAUUCGUAGAUAUUCGCAAGAACACCAGUGGCGAAGGCGGCUCACUGGCCCGAUACUGACGCUGAGGUGCGAAAGCGUGGGGAGCAAACAGG
rnacentral:rRNA from 1 species